CGUGUAGGCGGCCGGCCGGGUCCCCUGUGAAAGCCCGGGGCUCAGCUCCGGAAGUGCAUCGGAAACUAGCCGGCUAGAGCGCGGUAGAGGAGGGCGGAAUUCCUGGUGUAGCGGUGAAAUGCGUAGAUAUCAGGAGGAACACCGGCGGCGAAGGCGGCCCUCUGGACCGUUGCUGACGCUGAUACGCGAAAGCGUGGGGAGCAAACAGGAUUAGAUACCCUGGUAGUCCACGCUGUAAACGAUGGGUACUAGAUGUUCGGGGUAUUGACCCCCUGAGUGUCGAAGCUAACGCAUUAAGUACCCCGCCUGGGGACUACGGCCGCAAGGCUAAA
rnacentral:rRNA from 1 species